rnacentral:rRNA from 1 species
UACGGGGGGGAGCAAGCGUUUGUUCGGAUUUACUGGGCGUAAAGGGCGCGUAGGCGGCCACCGCAAGUCGGUUGUGAAAUCUCUGGGCUUAACCCAGAAAGGUCAACCGAUACUGCGGGGCUAGAGUGCAGAAGGGGCAACUGGAAUUCUCGGUGUAGCGGUGAAAUGCGUAGAUAUCGUAAGGAAGACCAGUGGCGAAGGCGAGUCUCUGGACAGCAACUGACGCUGAGCACGAAGGCCAGGGGAGCAAACGGG